rnacentral:rRNA from 1 species
GACGAACGCUGGCGGCGUGCUUAACACAUGCAAGUCGAACGAAGUGGCGAACGGGUGAGUAAUACGUGGGUAACCUGCCCUCCUUUUUGGGAUAAGUCUUGGAAACGGGGUCUAAUACCGAAUAACGGGGGAUGGGCUAGCUGCCUAUCAGUUUGUUGGUGGGGUGAUGGCCUAUCAAGGCGGUGACGGGUAGCCGGCGUGAGGGGGUGACCGGCCAGAGUCGGGCUGAGGUACGGCCCGGACGCCUGCGGGAGGGAGCAGUGGGGAAUGUUGGGCAGUGGGCGAAAGCAUGAUGCAGCGAGGCCUCAUGGGGUAUGAAGGCUUUCGGGUUGUAGACCUAUAACGCUUCGGACGGGGUAGGUAGAGAAGAAGCGCCGGCUAACUACGUGCCAGCAGCCGCGGUAAUUC